rnacentral:rRNA from 1 species
UACGUAGGGGGCUAGCGUUGUCCGGAAUCAUUGGGCGUAAAGCGCGUGUAGGCGGUCCGGUAAGUCUGCUGUGAAAGUCGGGGGCUCAACCCUCGGAUGCCGGUGGAUACUGUCGGGCUUGAGUACGGAAGAGGCGAGUGGAAUUCCUGGUGUAGCGGUGAAAUGCGCAGAUAUCAGGAGGAACACCAAUUGCGAAGGCAGCUCGCUGGGACGUUACUGACACUGAGACGCGAAAGCGUAGGGAGCAAACAGG